rnacentral:lncRNA from 1 species
AUGCUGUCAUGUGCAGAUUUAGCAGCAGUGAGAAACCCAAGCACAUUCUCCAGGCACAGCCAGGCUGGGCAGUGUGUGCAGGUCCUCAGUGAAAGUGCUGGGAACUCUCUCCUGCUGGUGCUUCAGACCAACACAGAGAUCACAGAGAUCUCUGAUCUGCACAGUGAUCAGAGAUCACAAGGCAGCAGAGGGAUCUUUUGUGCCUGUGGAAAGCCAGGAAAGCCGUGGUACAAUGGCCAUGGGGAAGUGGGACCCCCCAGCAUUUUGCACAGGACCCAAGGUCAUCUGCAGGGGGAAAGGAAAAGGCUGAACGGUCAAGCUGGAAGGGAGGAAAUGUGGGAAAAUGGAUUCUGUGAUAAAGGAGGCGUUCUCCUGGUGCCUAUCACAUUGAACUAGUACUGAGACAACUUUGUUUUCAAGGAGGUCUUCAUGCUGGAGGAUAUCAAGUAAGAGAUCUAAGAAACUAUAACAUCAACAGUAAUGAUAUUUCUUUUGAGAUACAGAAAGUUUAGCCAUUGAGACAGUAUUUUUUCUUGUCAUUUGUUUAGUCUGUUUGGUGAAUUCUGCCAGGUUGGUUUUGAUCCUGUAUGAAGAGUGAUUUGCUGUAAGAGCGGAUGCAUCAGACGAGUCGCGCUUCAAAGUAAACAAUAAAUAACUGUAACAGUUAAUAUAAGGAACUGAC